GUGGUUGCUUCAGUAGUACGUAUACUAAAAUUGGAUUAGCAUGGCUCCUGUGCAAGGAUGACAUGCAAAUUCAGGAAGCUUCCCAUAUUUUU
ensembl:snRNA U6 U6 spliceosomal RNA